rnacentral:rRNA from 1 species
GGGAACGUACCCUUCGGUUCGGGAUAACCCUGGGAAACUAGGGCUAAUACCGGAUACGUCCGAGAGGAGAAAGGUUUACUGCCGAAGGAUCGGCCCGCGUCCGAUUAGCUAGUUGGAGAGGUAACGGCUCACCAAGGCGACGAUCGGUAGCUGGUCUGAGAGGAUGAUCAGCCACACUGGGACUGAGACACGGCCCAGACUCCUACGGGAGGCAGCAGUGGGGAAUAUUGGACAAUGGGCGCAAGCCUGAUCCAGCCAUGCCGCGUGAGUGAUGAAGGCCUUAGGGUUGUAAAGCUCUUUUGUCCGGGACGAUAAUGACGGUACCGGAAGAAUAAGCCCCGGCUAACUUCGUGCCAGCAGCCGCGGUAAUACGAANGGGGCUAGCGUUGCUCGGAAUCACUGGGCGUAAAGGGCGCGUANGCGGCCUUGUAAGUUGGGGGUGAAAGCCCGUGGCUCAACCACGGAAUUGCCUUCGAUACUGCUUGGCUUGAGUGUGGUAGAGGUUGGUGGAACUGCGAGU